CAUAAAUCCCGUCGAACAUUGUUAGAGCAAACCCAAUGGACAUAUCCUUGGGAUGUCUCUGAUUUUUUAAUAAUAUAAACAAAAAAAGGAAAAGUUUUAAUCAUAAUUUUUGAGAGACCGGUGUCUCUGCGGCGAUCCUUUGAGAACAGCAGAGACCCGACGUGUAUUAUUUGUAUUGGUUAAGUUUUGUUUUGUUGUUUUUUAUUAUUCAGUUUUAUUUUUCUUCGUUUUCUUCUUUCUCUCGACAAUAUCGAAACGAGAGAAACACAAAAUCACGACAAUAGCUCUCGCAUCGUCGUCUUCUUCUUCCGAUCGAUUCGAUCUCGCCUCGUCGUCUUCUAAAUCGAUUCGACGCAAGUCUUCGAUUGGGUUUGUGAUUUGGUUUCUCGAUCGGGUUGUAUCGAUUACUUUCUGUACUCCCUCUACUUCCUUCCUUCUCUUCUCAUUACUUCUUCCUUUCUGGUGUGUUAGCCGUUUGAUCUUUUCUCAAUUAGGGUUCCUCUCUCUGAUCAUUGCUCUUGUGUUUGGGUUUUGCAGGAGAUUCGUCGGAUCUCUUAUAAUGUCAAGUACAUAGUUUGUUUGCAUAAUCCCACUUUAUAUCCUUAAAACCUUGUAUUUGAUUUUUGUAGGUACACGAGCUUUCUGGCUGUUAUAAUUGGUGUCAUUGCGAUCCUGUAGAAAUCAUUUACUCGGAGAAAGAUUGUUCCACAUGUAAAAUCCCAAAGUUUAGUUCCAAUCAUACUCGUGAACCUUGUGAUCUCACGGCACAAGAGAACAACAAGUCUCUGGUCUUUGUUCUGAUCUUCCCGUGGCUUUCUCCUUGUGAUCUCAAGUCGGCACAAGAGAAAAACAAGUCUCUGGUCUUGGUUUUUUGUGUUUUUCUUUCCCCACAACAAGAGAACAACUCACUUUAAACAUUUUUUUAAUAAAAAAAGUUAGACACCCAAA